rnacentral:rRNA from 1 species
AUUGAACGCUGGCGGCAGGCCUAACACAUGCAAGUCGAGCGGAUGAGUGGAGCUUGCUCCAUGAUUCAGCGGCGGACGGGUGAGUAAUGCCUAGGAAUCUGCCUGGUAGUGGGGGACAACGUUUCGAAAGGAACGCUAAUACCGCAUACGUCCUACGGGAGAAAGUGGGGGAUCUUCGGACCUCACGCUAUCAGAUGAGCCUAGGUCGGAUUGGCUAGUUGGUGAGGUAAAGGCUCACCAAGGCGACGAUCCGUAACUGGUCUGAGAGGAUGAUCAGUCACACUGGAACUGGGACACGGUCCAGACUCCUACGGGAGGCAGCAGUGGGGAAUAUUGGACAAUGGGCGAAAGCCUGAUCCAGCCAUGCCGCGUGUGUGAAGAAGGUCUUCGGAUCGUAAAGCACUUUAAGUUGGGAGGAAGGGCAGUAAGUUAAUACCUUGCUGUUUUGACGUUACCAACAGAAUAAGCACCGGCUAACUUCGUGCCAGCCGCCGCGGUAACAC